rnacentral:rRNA from 1 species
CCUACGGGAGGCAGCAGUGAGGAAUAUUGGUCAAUGGACGCUAGUCUGAACCAGCCAAGUAGCGUGAAGGAUGACUGCCCUAUGGGUUGUAAACUUCUUUUAUAUGGGAAUAAACUGUUCCACGUGUGGGAUUUUGUAUGUACCAUAUGAAUAAGGAUCGGCUAACUCCGUGCCAGCAGCCGCGGUAAUACGGAGGAUCCGAGCGUUAUCCGGAUUUAUUGGGUUUAAAGGGAGCGUAGGUGGAUUGUUAAGUCAGUUGUGAAAGUUUGCGGCUCAACCGUAAAAUUGCAGUUGAUACUGGCAGUCUUGAGUACAGUAGAGGUGGGCGGAAUUCGUGGUGUAGCGGUGAAAUGCUUAGAUAUCACGAAGAACUCCGAUUGCGAAGGCAGUUCACUGGACUGCAACUGACACUGAGGCUCGAAAGUGUGGGUAUCAAACAGGAUUAGAUACCCGAGUAGUC